UGCGGGCUUUAAAAUUAAGUAAGACAUUGGCCUAUGUUGAAAUACAGCAAAAACGUAAGAUGGAUUAAUGAACGAGUAAAAGAUGGAUGAACAGAUGUGCGUGUGAUCAAGCAGAUGGAGCACAUUGCUCGUGGUCGAAUCUGGUGGUUGAAAUGGGUGUUCACUGUAGAAUUCUUUCCGUUUUCCUAGAUGCUUGAAAUUUUCCAAAAUAAAAUAUUGAGAAAAAAAUUCGUGCAAGACCAAGUUCUCUGCCCUCGAGGCAUUUACAGCUGCAGGCCUUGAGGAGUUUCUUUGGUUCCUGAAGGGCUGCUUGCUCACCACGAGCAGUGUUUGCACAAAUAGAUGCGCUUCUUGUUGCCUGGCUCCAUGGCUCCUCCUAGAGCAUUGUUUUCUUAUUCAGGUUAGUUCAGUGUCUAAUUCUAAUGGGAAAAUUGUUUUUUCUAGGUUUAUUUAUGAAACAGAGCAUCAUAAUGGCAUAGCAGAGUUACUGGAAAUAUUGGGAAGUAUAAUUAAUGGAUUUGCCUUACCACUAAAAGAAGAGCACAAGAUUUUCUUAUU
rnacentral:lncRNA from 10 species